rnacentral:rRNA from 1 species
UACCUCAGUAACGGCGAGUGAAGCGGUAACAGCUCAAAUUUGAAAUCUGGCUCCUUCGGGGCCCGAAUUGUAAUUUGUAGAAGAUGCUUUGGGCGUGGCUCCGGUCUAAGUUCCUUGGAACAGGACGUCAUAGAGGGUGAGAAUCCCGUAUGUGACUGGUUGCCUUCACCCGUGUAAAGCUCUUUCGACGAGUCGAGUUGUUUGGGAAUGCAGCUCAAAAUGGGUGGUAAAUUUCAUCUAAAGCUAAAUAUUGGCCAGAGACCGAUAGCGCACAAGUAGAGUGAUCGAAAGAUGAAAAGCACUUUGGAAAGAGAGUUAAACAGUACGUGAAAUUGUUGAAAGGGAAGCGCUUGCAACCAGACUUGCAUGUGGUUGAUCAUCCGAGGUUUUCCCCGGUGCACUCGAUCAUGUUCAGGCCAGCAUCGGUUUGGGUGGUUGGAUAAAGGCCUUGGGAAUGUAGCUCCUCUCGGGGAGUGUUAUAGCCCUCGGUGCAAUGCAGCCUAUCCGGACCGAGGACCGCGCUUCGGCUAGGAUGCUGGCGUAAUGGUUGUAAGCGACCCGUCUUGAAACACGGACCAAGGAGUCUAACAUCUAUGCGAGUGUUUGGGUGUCAAACCCAUACGCGUAAUGAAAGUGAACGGAGGUGAGAACCCUUAAGGGUGCAUCAUCGACCGAUCCUGAUGUCUUCGGAUGGAUUUGAGUAAGAGCAUAGCUGUUGGGACCCGAAAGAUGGUGAACUAUGCCUGAAUAGGGUGAAGCCAGAGGAAACUCUGGUGGAGGCUCGCAGCGGUUCUGACGUGCAAAUCGAUCGUCAAAUUUGGGUAUAGGGGCGAAAGACUAAUCGAACCAUCUA